rnacentral:rRNA from 1 species
UUCGUAGGGUGCAAGCGUUAAUCGGAAUUACUGGGCGUAAAGCGUGCGCAGGCGGUUAUGUAAGACAGGUGUGAAAUCCCAGGGCUUAACCUUGGAACUGCAUUUGUGACUGCAUAGCUAGAGUACGGUAGAGGGGGAUGGAAUUCCGCGUGUAGCAGUGAAAUGCGUAGAUAUGCGGAGGAACACCGAUGGCGAAGGCAAUCCCCUGGACCUGUACUGACGCUCAUGCACGAAAGCGUGGGGAGCAAACAGG